rnacentral:lncRNA from 10 species
GUAUAUGAAAGUAUGCACUGGCUAUUCGAGGCAUGUCUCCUGAUGUCUCCCAAAGAAUGCACUCCUCUGGCCUAUGCCUGAUUACUCCGCAGAAAUUCCCGUGGUUUCUGCAGUCUCAGCAACUUCUGUCACAGAGAUUCUGGAAAUACUCUACUGAAAACGUUCGUGGAUAG